ACCUACAUAAAAAGCAAACGUGAC
rnacentral:siRNA from 1 species